AGGAGGAGCGGGAGGACGCGCUGCCGCCGGCCCCGAGGGGAACAGGAGCCACAGCCCCGGCAGCCGGCAGGAGAAGCGGGAGGAGCGCUGACUAACGGCGGGGAGCGGCUUUGGCAGGCGGCGAGCGGCAGCCGGCGCCACUCCCUCCUUCCUCGCUGAGUUCCCGCCCCGGUGUAUCAGGUGCAGCAGCUCCCCCUAGGCGGCCCCAGCUCCACGCCGCCCGGCCCGUCUCGAUUCGACCCGGCCGAGCCGUCCCGCCGCGCUCCGCCCCCUGCCCGCCCCCUGCGGGGGGAUGGCGCGCUGCCCGGCCCGCUACGGGUGAGGCCUUGGGGGUAAAGUUUGGAGAGCGUUCUGCGUGAGGACCGGGAGCCAGGGGACACCCAGCUCCAGCUCAGGUGUGGGGUUAGCGGUGCCAGAGCUUGGUUCCUUGUCUGAAAUGACCGUUAAAUUGCAAGUUAUCAGCGUAAGGAAAAAGAAAAAAAAAUCAUGUUUUCAUAGUUUGCGUGUGGACGUGCUGGUAAUUCCCACUCCCAUCGGCUGUGUUUCAGAUCCCAAAUUAAAUCUUGAGAAAGGAUGGGAUGCCCAGCCUUCAUUUCAUCUCUGUUUAUUUUGUGUAAUUAGCAUUACAGCACUGAGAAUGCCAGAGGUGCCUCCUCUGUUAAAAACAGCCACCAAAGCUCAGUGCCUUGAUUCCAGAAUAGGUGCAUUUGGAUGCAGGGACAGUUCUAACAGCAGUUGGAGGAUGGGAUUGUAAAAAUGUUUAUCUCCUGAUAUAUCACCACCUCAUAUGGUCAAAUGAGCUACUGUGAAUCUUCCCAGACAUCAUCUCUGAGAAAGUGUCUUUGCUCUGCCUGUUGAUUCCCAUUGGAAUUUCUUUCACAAUGUUUUGAAUCUUUCCCCUAAUCGUUGUCAUUUGUACUCCUGACUGAGUGCGUUUCCUCAUUCAUAUAUUUUAACACAUCUCAUAUGCCUUCAAGCGUCAACAGAAAUGCAUUUUUCAUUGGCUGGAUUGAUGUUGCUGUUUUUUCAUUGCAUUUCUAAUGUGACAUGCUUUUGGGAUUUUUAUUUUUUAUUUUUUCAUACUCUUCUCAAAAUGGCAAGGUAUUCAGAGAGAGCAAGCUGGUUCAUUUUAUUCUGCUGUAUUAAGAGAAUGUCUCUAACUGCAAUGUUAGAGCGAAUGUUAGGUCACUCUGGAAGUAACGUUUCAUAUUUAUUCCUAUGAAAAUUACAACAGAUACAAAGAGUACCAUAACACUCUGUGAUAGAGACAAUUCUCAGCUACAAAGCACUAUUUUUCAACAUAGUCACCACCACUAGCUAUGCAUGUUUGCCAGGGAUGAACAAGAGCCUGUAUGCCACUCUCAUGAAUUCUGCAAACUGCUAUCAUCACCACUGAAAUGCACCACUCACUGCUUCACUGUGCUUACAUCCACUGUUUGGUCUCCGUCAACGUUCAGCAAGCAUCAGUGAAUGUCAGUGGGUGCCAUUUCUUCCACAUGGAGGAAUUCAAUGACAGACAGAAAGAGAUGGGGCUGUUCAGCCCAGAGAAUAGAAGGCUGUGGGAAGACGAUUAUAGACUUUAGUAUCUACAAGGGGACUAUAAGAAAGAAGGGGACAGACUCUUUAGCAGCAUCUGUUGUGAUAGUGUAAGGGGAAAUUGUCUCAAAGUAAAGGGGGGGGGAUUUAGAUUGGACAUAAGGAAGAAUUUUUUUUUACAAUAAGGGAAGUGCAGCACACUGGCACAUGUUGCCCAGAGAGCUGGUGGAUGCUUUGCUCUGGAGAUAUUCAAGGUCAGGCUGGUCAGGGCUCUGAGCAAUCUAAUCUAGUUGUAGGUAUCCCUGUUCAUUGCAGAGGAGUUGGACUAGAUGACUUUUGAUGGCCACUUCCAACUCAAACAAUUCUAUGAUUCUGUGAUUCAUAUGCACUUCCGUGUCAGAUGCCAUUCUGUCAGGCAGCCCCUCUGCUGCCAUAUGUUGCACGGCAACAAAAUGUAAUGGAGUAUUGGUGCGAAGGUUCAACCCUUACUGCCAUACCACCCAACAUCCAUCUGUGAUGUCAUGGGCCAACAUCAUAAAACAGGAGGCAUUAAUUUCAUAGUAGCUCUCAGAAUUAAUUGCAGAAGUCUGCAUUUAAAAAUGGGAUGUAUGGGAAUUUACAGAACACAUCAAGAAGUCAAAGUUUGAGCUACAUCUGCACACAUCGAAUAUUUUGUUUAGUUCAAAGGCCAACUAGAAGGCCUUAGCCACAUCUUCUACACUAUGGAUGGUCAGUAGUUCCCCUACCAGCAGGCAAGGCAGCUAAUACAGGAAGUGUCACUGCAAUUCCAGGUGAGUGGCUGCUUCCAGCACUCUCCUACUUCAGGCUUUCACCUUCCUGUGGCCCAUUUAGUACUGCAAACACCAGGACAAGGCAGUCACCAGGAGUAGUCCUGCAGUUCCUAUGUCUUAAAUACCAGUCCUUUCCUCUCCUCACUUUUUCUGAGCUGACUUUAAGUAGAAAUGCAGGUUAGGAAGGGUAGCUAUUGCUUGUUGAGAGCAAAAUGAGGCAAAUUCUAAAUAUCAUUUUUUCCCCAUUUAAUAUUCCAGCAAGGUUAUUUUAUUAUUAUAGGAGAACAUAGAGUUAUACUCUUUUCACAGCUUUCAUGCAAAUUGUUCAGAUCUUCCUCUUAAAUAAAGAAAAAAACAGUCUUCUGUGGUGGUUAUUU
rnacentral:lncRNA from 1 species